GCUUUGUUCGUGGGAACGCCCUACCACUGUUUAACAUGUCAGCACUGAGCAAGAAGUGCUGUUCAACCUGAUGAAAGAGAUGAACAUCUGUGGCAUCAACAAGAACUGGGUCCUCCCAGAAGCCCAGGAAAACAAUGUGAAGAAGUUCCUACCACGCCCUCUGUCUAGGGUGAAUGGCUGGUCACCACCCCUCCACUCCUUUCAGGCAAUAUCCUGGAUCACCUACCUGGCCAUGUCCAUUGUCACCUUUGGGAUCUUCAUCCCCUUUCUGCCAUAUAGCUGGAAAUAUGCUGCCAAUAUUGUGAUGGGUGGGGUGUUCAUAUUCCACCUCAUCGUGCACUUGAUCGCAAUUACCAUCGAUCCAGCUGACACCAAUGUCCGACUCAAAAAGGACUACACGCAGCCUGUGCCGGCCUUCGACAGGUCCAAACACACACACGUGAUUCAGAACCAGUACUGCCACCUGUGUGAGGUUACCGCGAGCAAAAAAGCCAAACAUUGCAGCGCCUGCAACAAAUGUGUCUCUGGCUUUGACCACCACUGCAAAUGGCUGAACAACUGCGUGGGCAGGAGAAACUACUGGUUCUUUUUCUGGUCUGUGGCCUCAGCUGCAGUUGGGAUUCUUGGUGUGAUGAUUAUCUUGUGUUAUAUCUGCAUCCAGUACUUUGUCAACCCUGAUGAGCUUCGCACGGAUCCUCUCUAUAAAGAGAUCAUCUCUGAGAACACAUGGCUGCUGUUCCUCUCACUGUGGCCUGUGCCUGUGAAGACCCCCAUAGUCCUUUCCAUCGCGGUGAUGGCACUGCUACUAGCUAUUGCCAGCUUCGUGAUGCUUGGGCACCUCCUCAUCUUCCACUUAUACCUGAUUACUAAGAAUAUGAGCACAUUUGACUACCUGAUGAAGACUCGAUUCAAGAAGAAUUUACAUCCAGCAGAGGAGAAAGAGCUACCUCUACAGAAGAAGGGGGACCUUCCCCAGGUGUGCCUGUCCCUCCGUGCCAUGCUCAUGGAAGGGCUGAGGCCAAUGUGUGGAGGAAAAGAGUGACAACUGGGCCUGGCCGAAGUCCCCACCCAGAGUGGGGUCCCAGAAGUUCCCAGUGUCUACUCUUUCGCCGAAGUCAAGUGUGUGUUUUGUGGCUUCACCUCCAAAGAUCUGCCACAGUGAAGACUAGUGGCAAGGAUGAGCCCUUCUUUCAUCAUGGAAACACCAAGGUAUCAGCCCAAGAUCAUGAGGAGACCCUUCUACUCUGUGGUGCAUGAUGCUGCUGAGCCAUGAUCUUCAGUAGAAUAUGUGUAUUAUGUGUAUUUUGGACUUAAGAUAUUUUCAAUUUAUGAUGAGUUCCUCAGAAUGCAAAGCCGUUGUCAUCCAAGAAUCAUCUAUAUAGAAGAAUGUUAGCAGUAAUAGAGUCUAGGUGUUAAGUACAUAUGCAUUUUCACUUUCAACUUUUCUAGAUGUUUGAAAAUUUUCAUAAUAAAAUGUUGAUGUAUGACUUGGUAAAAAUAAACAUGGCAAAAGUUCA